rnacentral:pre_miRNA from 1 species
UGGAGGAAUAACCCCAGUGGCUGCGGCAGCUCUGGAAACCUGGAUUCAGCUCCCGCAGGAACUAUGGAGCUCUCUCAGUCUGCAGGGGCUUGGAGGCCCCUGGUGGGG